GACGAACGCUGGCGGCGUGCUUAACACAUGCAAGUCGAACGCUGAAGCUCAGCUUGCUGGGUGGAUGAGUGGCGAACGGGUGAGUAACACGUGAGUAACCUGCCCUCUUCUUUGGGAUAACGCCCGGAAACGGGUGCUAAUACUGGAUAUUCACUGAUUCUCGCAUGGGGGUUGGUGGAAAGGUUUUUUCUGGUGGGGGAUGGGCUCGCGGCCUAUCAGCUUGUUGGUGGGGUGAUGGCCUACCAAGGCUUUGACGGGUAGCCGGCCUGAGAGGGUGACCGGUCACAUUGGGACUGGGAUACGGCCCAGACUGCUACGGGAGGCAGCAGUGGGGAAUAUUGCACAAUGGGCGAAAGCCUGAUGCAGCGACGCCGCGUGAGGGAUGGAGGCCUGCGGGUUGUAAACCUCUUUCGCUCAUGGUCAAGCCGCAGCUUUGGGUUGUGGUGAGGGUAGUGGGUAAAGAAGCGCCGGCUAACUACGUG
rnacentral:rRNA from 1 species